ACGUAGGAGGCAAGCGUUGUCCGGAAUGAUUGGGCGUAAAGGGCGCGCAGGCGGAAUGGUAAGUCUGGAGUGAAAGCCUUGGUCUCAAGGGGGGAACUGCUAUGGAUACUGUCGGGCUUGAGUGCAGGAGAGGUAGGUGGAAUUCCCGGUGUAGCGGUGAAAUGCGUAGAGAUCGCGAGGAACACCAAUGGCGAAGGCGACUUACUGGACUGUAACUGACGCUGAGGCGCGAAAGUGUGGGGAGCAAACAG
rnacentral:rRNA from 1 species